AUGGCGGAGGAACCAUCCGCCAAGCAUCAUCAUGGCGAGACGUCAAACAAGAGCAACAACCUCGUCGACAUUCACGUCCCCGACGACAAGCGCGAGUACACCAAAACGCUCAAAGGGGUUGAGCUCCACGACAAGGAGACGCUAGAGAUCAUCUGCACCAGCGUACCAGACAAGGCCGACGAGGUGAUGAGCUGGCUCAGGAUGAAGGGCGGCGGCUUGUAUCCGAGCUUCAUCGGAGUUGACGUGGAGCCCAAGCUCCUCAAAGACUUCCUGUAG
rnacentral:rRNA from 1 species